UCAGGACGAACGCUGGCGGCGUGCUUAACACAUGCAAGUCGAACGAUGAAGCCCUUCGGGGUGGAUUAGUGGCGAACGGGUGAGUAACACGUGGGCAAUCUGCCCUUCACUCUGGGACAAGCCCUGGAAACGGGGUCUAAUACCGGAUAUCACUCUCGCAGGCAUCUGUGAGGGUCGAAAGCUCCGGCGGUGAAGGAUGAGCCCGCGGCCUAUCAGCUUGUUGGUGAGGUAAUGGCUCACCAAGGCGACGACGGGUAGCCGGCCUGAGAGGGCGACCGGCCACACUGGGACUGAGACACGGCCCAGACUCCUACGGGAGGCAGCAGUGGGGAAUAUUGCACAAUGGGCGAAAGCCUGAUGCAGCGACGCCGCGUGAGGGAUGACGGCCUUCGGGUUGUAAACCUCUUUCAGCAGGGAAGAAGCGAAAGUGACGGUACCUGCAGAAGAAGCGCCGGCUAACUACGUGCCAGCAGCCGCGGUAAUACGUAGGGCGCAAGCGUUGUCCGGAAUUAUUGGGCGUAAAGAGCUCGUAGGCGGCUUGUCACGUCGGGUGUGAAAGCCCGGGGCUUAACCCCGGGUCUGCAUUCGAUACGGGCUAGCUAGAGUGUGGUAGGGGAGAUCGGAAUUCCUGGUGUAGCGGUGAAAUGCGCAGAUAUCAGGAGGAACACCGGUGGCGAAGGCGGAUCUCUGGGCCAUUACUGACGCUGAGGAGCGAAAGCGUGGGGAGCGAACAGGAUUAGAUACCCUGGUAGUCCACGCCGUAAACGGUGGGAACUAGGUGUUGGCGACAUUCCACGUCGUCGGUGCCGCAGCUAACGCAUUAA
rnacentral:rRNA from 1 species